rnacentral:rRNA from 1 species
UACGAAGGGGGCUAGCGUUGCUCGGAAUUACUGGGCGUAAAGGGCUUGUAGGUGGUUUGUCGCGUUGUUCGUGAAAUCCCGUGGCUUAACUGCGGGCGUGCGGGCGAUACGGGCAGACUGGAGUACUGCAGGGGAGACUGGAAUUCCUGGUGUAGCGGUGGAAUGCGCAGAUAUCAGGAGGAACACCGGUGGCGAAGGUGGGUCUCUGGGCAGUAACUGACGCUGAGAAGCGAAAGCGUGGGGAGCGAACAGG